rnacentral:rRNA from 1 species
GACGAACGCUGGCGGCGUGCCUAAUACAUGCAAGUAGAACGCAGUCGCGAACGGGUGAGUAACGCGUAGGUAACUGCCUCAUAGCGGGGGAUAACUAUUGGAAACGAUAGCUAAUACCGCAUACUGUGAGAUGGACCUGCGUUGUAUUAGUUAGUUGGUGAGGUAAAGGCUCACCAAGGCGACGAUACAUAGGCGACCUGAGAGGGUGUGCGGCCACACAGGGAUGGAGACACGGCCCAGGCUGCUACGGGAGGCAGCAGUAGGGAAUCUUCGGAGAUGGACGGGAGUCUGGCCGAGCAACGCCGCAUGAGUGAAGAAGGUUUUCGGAUCGUAGAGCUCUGUUGUUAGGGAAGCGGUAACUACCCAGAAAGGGACGGCUAACUACGUGCCAGCAGCCGCGGUAAUAC